AUUUACACAAUUGUGGUAUCGAUUAUUUACUCCAUCUGACCCUAGACUACCUUUUUUUUGAAAGCACUGGCCUCAUCUCUCCCAAAAAACCAUCUACAAAUGUUUCACUUUGAGGGGGGAGGAAGAAUUCUCCUUUCCUUUUUUCUCGUCUUUCCCCCCAUUUUCAAAAACAAAAGGUUUCCCCUAUAUGUUUUCGUUUUGUAAUGAUUUUCCUCCACUCAUCACAGGCUGAUGCGUCUCAGCAUCGAAUUUUC
rnacentral:lncRNA from 1 species